rnacentral:lncRNA from 1 species
ACGUGCACAGGCUCUGCUUGCCUUCUCUUUGUUCUCCCUUGGAGAUGGUGGUGGUCUGACCACAAUGCUCUGCUUCCAUUUCGUCUAAUCUCAUCUAAUCCACAUGUAUUAAGAUGAGAACGAACAGGCCCUUAAAUGGAGGCAGGCAGGCACUCACCGCUUCUUGUCACUCAUGUCCGCUCGCUUGCGCAGGCAUGAUAUUUUACCCAGAGACUACUGAUUGUUCUUUCAUCCAUCAGCUGAUCCCAGAUCUGUGGCAUCAGUAUUUCAGUGUUGUGAAUCGGCCGGUGCAUGAACUUAAUCAUUAAUGCAUAUACUUAUAUGCUAACUGAACAUGAAUGAAAGUUAUAUGUUUCAAGUGCAAGUGCAUAGUACAGUAGAUAGAAAUGGCAGGUUUGUUUAAAACUUACAUUUGCAGGUUUGAACAGCAAUAUACUAGUACUACCCAGCAGCAGGGUAUCCACUUUGCCCUUACAAGCCACAGCAUUAGGCCAAACUGCCUUUGGUUGCAAUCACUAAUGAGGAAGAACGUUAUCUAUUUGUUAAUGUAAACAGCUAAGGGUGUCCCUUCUCAAAGACAAGAUGAGCAAACUAGACAUGUAGAUGAACAUUACCCUGCUGGUCAUGACGAACUGGGCGGCUCGGCCAGGGGCCAAAACAGGAUUCAGCAUGCUACAUUAUUCUUCAUCACAAUUCAGCAGUUAUAACGUCAUUCCUCAUAAAUGCAACAUCGGCUGUGUUAACAGACAUGAUAAAACAUGCUACAAGAGAGAAUCGCACAUCAGUUGUGUACGGGGAGCACAUAGCUACAUCAGCACCGGAACGAAUAUGCUUCAAAAAACAUAAAACGCUCUGCAUAUAUUGGAUCAAAAGUAAAUGAACAUCUGCAUAUCAAGCAGGUCAAAUGAGAAGAAAAUCUUCCGAGAAAACAUGAACAUGAAGUAAACCAAUGGUUUUAGUUAAGAUCAUAUACUAGCUUAACUGUGACAGGUGCGUGCAAGGACUUAUUCCAAAAAAAAAAAUCAAAAUAUCAA